rnacentral:rRNA from 1 species
GACGAACGCUGGCGGCGUGCUUAACACAUGCAAGUCGAACGGAAAGGCCCUGCUUUUGUGGGGUGCUCGAGUGGCGAACGGGUGAGUAACACGUGAGUAACCUGCCCUUGACUUUGGGAUAACUUCAAGAAACUGGGGCUAAUACCGGAUAGGAGCUCCUGCUGCAUGGUGGGGGUUGGAAAGUUUCGGCGGUUGGGGAUGGACUCGCGGCUUAUCAGCUUGUUGGUGGGGUAGUGGCUUACCAAGGCUUUGACGGGUAGCCGGCCUGAGAGGGUGACCGGCCACAUUGGGACUGAGAUACGGCCCAGACUCCUACGGGAGGCAGCAGUGGGGAAUAUUGCACAAUGGGCGGAAGCCUGAUGCAGCAACGCCGCGUGCGGGAUGACGGCCUUCGGGUUGUAAACCGCUUUCGCCUGUGACGAAGCGUGAGUGACGGUAAUGGGUAAAGAAGCACCGGCUAACUACGUGCCAGCAGCCGCGGUGAUACGUAGGGUGCGAGCGUUGUCCGGAUUUAUUGGGCGUAAAGGGCUCGUAGGUGGUUGAUCGCGUCGGAAGUGUAAUCUUGGGGCUUAACCCUGAGCGUGCUUUCGAUACGGGUUGACUUGAGGAAGGUAGGGGAGAAUGGAAUUCCUGGUGGAGCGGUGGAAUGCGCAGAUAUCAGGAGGAACACCAGUGGCGAAGGCGGUUCUCUGGGCCUUUCCUGACGCUGAGGAGCGAAAGCGUGGGGAGCGAACAGGCUUAGAUACCCUGGUAGUCCACGCUGUAAACGGUGGGUACUAGGUGUGGGGUCCAUUCCACGGGUUCCGUGCCGUAGCUAACGCUUUAAGUACCCCGCCUGGGGAGUACGGCCGCAAGGCUAAAACUCAAAGGAAUUGACGGGGCCCCGCACAAGCGGCGGAGCAUGCGGAUUAAUUCGAUGCAACGCGUAGAACCUUACCUGGGUUUGACAUGGAUCGGGAGUGCUCAGAGAUGGGUGUGCCUCUUUUGGGGUCGGUUCACAGGUGGUGCAUGCCUGUCGUCAGCUCGUGUCGUGAGAUGUUGGGUUAAGUCCCGCAACGAGCGCAACCCUUGUUCACUGUUGCCAGCACGUUAUGGUGGGGACUCAGUGGAGACCGCCGGGGUCAACUCGGAGGAAGGUGGGGAUGACGUCAAGUCAUCAUGCCCCUUAUGUCCAGGGCUUCACGCAUGCUACAAUGGCUGGUACAGAGAGUGGCGAGCCUGUGAGGGUGAGCGAAUCUCGGAAAGCCGGUCUCAGUUCGGAUUGGGGUCUGCAACUCGACCUCAUGAAGUCGGAGUCGCUAGUAAUCGCAGAUCAGCAACGCUGCGGUGAAUACGUUCCCGGG